rnacentral:lncRNA from 1 species
UAUUUAUAAAUAUCAUAGCAAUAAUUUUUUCACUCCACAAAUAACACCGAGUAACGUUACUUGUAUGCUUCUAAAAAAACCGACCGUCCCUAAAGCAAGUGGCAAAGGAUUUGAUGAUUGGUAUCCGAGACUCAAGUUCGAAUCCUGAUUGAUUCACAUUUCCAGCUAAGUUUAUUUCUAAAUAAAAUAAACGAAACGGAUAGCGUACUACCUCGCUAUAUAUAU